AAAACCACAGGGUCCUCAAGGUUUCCAAGGCCCCCCCGGUGAACCCGGAGAGCCCGGUGCAUCUGGUCCCAUGGGCCCCCGUGGUCCAGCCGGCCCCCCUGGCAAGAACGGCGAUGAUGGUGAAGCUGGCAAGCCUGGCCGUCCCGGUGAGCGCGGCCCCCCCGGCCCCCAGGGUGCCCGUGGUCUGCCAGGAACCGCCGGCCUGCCGGGCAUGAAGGGACACAGAGUGAGUCCUUCC